UUCCGGUUGAUCCCGCCGGACCCUACUGCUAUCGGGGGAGGACUAAAACAUGCAAGUCGUGCGCCUCCAAGCCAUGGUGGAGACGCGGCAUCCGGCUCAGUAACACGUGGCUAACCCACCCUUGAGACGGAGAAAACCCCGGGAAACUGGGGUUAAUCUCCGAUAAGAGAAGACACCUGGAAUGGAUCUCCUCUCAAAGGGCGCCUAGACCAUGCUUCUGGGCGUUGCUCAAGGACGGGGCCGCGGCCGAUCAGGUUGUUGGUGAGGUAACGGCUCACCAAGCCUAUAACCGGUACGGGCCGUGAGAGCGGGAGCCCGGAGAUGGGCACUGAGACAAGGGCCCAGGCCCUACGGGGCGCAGCAGUUGCGAAAACUCCGCAAUGCACGAAAGUGUGACGGGGCUACCCCGAGUGCCGUCCGCUGAGGGCGGCUUCUCCCCGGUGUAAGGAGCCGGGGGAAUAAGGAAAGGGCAAGUCUGGUGUCAGCCGCCGCGGUAAUACCAGCUCUCCGAGUGGUAGGGAUGAUUAUUGGGCUUAAAGCGUCCGUAGCCGGCUCGGCAAGUCUUCCGUUAAAUCCAACGAUUCAAUCGUUGGACUGCUGGAGAUACUGUUGGGCUAGGAGGCGGGAGAGGCCGACGGUAUUCUCGGGGUAGGGGUAAAAUCCUAUAAUCCCGGGAGGACCACCAGUGGCGAAGGCGGUCGGCUAGAACGCGCUCGACGGUGAGGGACGAAAGCUGGGGGAGCGAACCGGAUUAGAUACCCGGGUAGUCCCAGCUGUAAACGAUGCGGGCUAGGUGUUGGGGCGGCUACGGGCCGCUUCAGUGCCGCAGGGAAACCAUUAAGCCCGCCGCCUGGGGAGUACGGCCGCAAGGCUGAAACUUAAAGGAAUUGG
rnacentral:rRNA from 1 species